UGCUUAAGAGGGGUACUUUCUGAUUAAUAUUUCAGAGAUUUGUAUUCCAAACCAUGCAAACCUCCGAAUUACAAAACGCAGCUCCAAAGCUUUUCACACCCCUACCAUGUAUAUGAGCACUUAGAUUCGAAGGAAUUGGGAAAAAAGUAUGGUAUAAAGGGAAAAAAAUGUAGUGAAAACCAAACAGUGAAGGAUACAAUGCCUGGGUCUGGAUCUUUAUGUACUUUAUUGUUAAAAGGAAAUAAGGCAGGCAUUUCUUGGUUAGAAAUAUGAGAUGACUCAGGUAGGCAAUGUGUUCCCUGGACUGAGGUGAAGUAACCAUCCAGAUAGAUUGCGAAGGUGGAUGUUUUCUCAGAUGAUUAUAAAUAGUUAAGAUCAAGAGGAACACUAAGAGUGCAAUUUAAAGGAAGGAAGGAACAGAAAGCUAGAGGCUUCUCAGUUCUUUAGUGAGUACAUGCAGAUUGCUAUCUUCUUAAAAUAAUCUGAAGUCAGUUAUGGUCUAAUUCCCAUCAGAGUUUGUGGAGGUUAUGGUUCUAGUUCAAAAGGAAAUGUUGAAUUAAAUCAUGGUGGAAGAAUGAAUGAUGCAAAGGAUCAUAUUGCAAACUUCUCUUUUGUCUCCAGUCAGGUGAAACUCUGGAGCAUACCCAUAUACAGAUAGAGUUUGGACAGCACAACUAGCUCUAAUAAGAGCUGGUCUGUUGUACACAGGAGAUGGUGCCUCCAUCCCGUUUUUCCUCUGCUAAUCAAUACAGGGAAAAGGUGGAUGGAUGAGUCCCAUUUUUAUGUUGCUGCAGCUGUAGAGCAACUUAAUUUCAGGAGAUCUUCUGGCCAUCACAGGUUUCUUAUGUUGACAUCAGCAUUGGCACCUGUAUGACCAGGGUUACGAUUAUGUGGAAGCUUCUGUUGGCAUCAUUCUGGCAGCAAUUCUCCAAAAGGCUUUGCAGUUGUCCAGCAGUAGUGAUGAUGACAUUAAUGCAGUUUGACAGUGCUUUGACUGCUAUGGAAUCCUGGGAUCUGUAGUUUAGUAAGACCCCAGCAAACUUUAGAUAGAAAUGUAAAACUACAACUGCAAUGAUUCUAUAGCACUGAGCCAUCACAGUUAAAGUGAUUUUUUUCGUGUCAGGAGCAACCUGAGUUGCUUCUGGAGUGAGAGAAUUGGCCGUCUGCAAGGACGUUGCCCAGGGGAUGCCCGGAUGUUUUUUUUUGAUGUUUUUACCAUCCUUGUGGGAGGCUUCUCUCAUGUCCCCGCAUGGAGCUGGAGCUGAUAGAGGGAGCUCAUCCUCGCUCUCCCCGGGUGGGAUUCGAACCUCGCAGCCUUCAGGUCAGCAACCCAACCUUCAAGUCACAAGGCUUUUAUCCCCUAGGCCACCGGAUGCUCCGGUGAUGACAAACAGCCCGGGGCUGUGGCGCAGACGGGAGAGCAAACCAGUUGCAAUUAACUGCAAUGAAUCACUGACCAGGAAGUCAUAAGUUCGAGGCCCGCUCGGAGUUAUGUUGUUUGUCUUUGUCCUAUGUUAAAAGGCAUUGAAUGUUUGCCUAUAUGUGUAAUGUGAUCCGCCCUGAGUCCCCUUCGGGGUGAUAAGGGCGGAAUAUAAAUGUUGUAAAUAAAUAAAUAAAUAAAUAAAUAAAUAAAUUCUACAGUGUAGAUGCUCCCAUAGAUGUGCUUUAAAACACUUGACAGCAAAAGUUCUGUUUGCUUAGAAAUAAAUAUAUUUAAUUUUAGUGUCAUUUAUUCUCAGCUAAGCAUGUACAAGAGGAGGCUCCAUGUUUGGUUUUCUUUGAAGCUUCCUUAAGGUUUGGGUUGGAUCACAGUUUCUCACUACUACAGGUGAGUUCAACAAGAAAGGUACAUUCAAGUGACCCAACAUUGGCACAGGAGCUAAAGCCAUUCCAUGCUUUCAGGACUUUCAGUGACAUGAGGAACCUCUACAGUCUCUUACUUCUUCUCUUUAUGGUACUGCUCCUAGUUGCUUCAGGAUUGUCUAUACACAUUUGGAAUAUGGCUGAGUGUUAUAGAGCUCAUGGAAUAUGUAUGAAAGGACGGAACUGUAGGUGGCCCUAUGGUAUAAGGAUUGGAAUAUGUAAGAAACGUUCAAUGUUGUGUUGCAAAUUUUGAAAAUUAAGCACUUCAAAUGAAAUCCAAAAGUGAUCAGAGAACCAAGAAUAAUAUAAAUGUUGAAACUAUG